AGAGUUUGAUCCUGGCUCAGGAUGAACGCUGGCGGCGUGCUUAACACAUGCAAGUCGAACGGGUGCUUGGGGAAACUUGAGCGCUAGUGGCAAACGGGUGCGUAACACGUGGGUGACCUACCUCGAAGUGGGGAAUAACGGUCCGAAAGGAUCGCUAAUACCGCAUGUUCUCGAUGAUUCAUUUUAUCGAGUAAAACCGCAAGGUGCUUUGAGAGGGGCCCGCGUCCCAUCAGGUAGUUGGUGAGGUAAUGGCCCACCAAGCCAAUGACGGGUAGCUGGUCUGAGAGGACGACCAGCCACAAUGGAACUGAGAUACGGUCCAUACUCCUACGGGAGGCAGCAGUGAGGAAUAUUGCACAAUGGACGAAAGUCUGAUGCAGCGACGCCGCGUGGGUGAUGAAGGCCCUCGGGUCGUAAAACCCUUUUGGCAGGGACGAGUGAGGACGGUACCUGCAGAAUAAGUCUCGGCUAACUACGUGCCAGCAGCCGCGGUAAAACGUAGGAGGCGAGCGUUAUCCGGAUUUACUGGGCGUAAAGCGCGCGUAGGCGGUCGGGUAAGUCAGAUGUUAAAGCCCCUGGCUCAACUGGGGGAGGUCAUUUGAUACUGCUCGGCUUGAGGGUGAGAGAGGAGAGCGGAAUUCCCGGUGUAGCGGUGGAAUGCGUAGAGAUCGGGAGGAACACCAGUGGCGAAAGCGGCUCUCUGGCUCAUCUCUGACGCUGAGUGCGCGAAAGCGUGGGGAGCAAACGGGAUUAGAUACCCCGGUAGUCCACGCCCUAAACGAUGAGAGCUGGGUGUCGGCAGGGUUUCCUGUCGGUGCCGAAGCAAACGCGUUAAGCUCUCCGCCUGGGGACUACGAACGCAAGUUUAAAACUCAAAGGAAUAGACAGGGGGCCCGCACAAGCAGCGGAGCGUGUGGUUCAAUUCGAUGUAACACGAAGAAACCUUACCAGGGUUUGACAUGUAUGUGGUAGGAAUCUGAAAAGGGGCCCGACCCGCAAGGGAGCAUGCACAGGUGCUGCAUGGCUGUCGUCAGC
rnacentral:rRNA from 1 species